rnacentral:ncRNA from 2 species
CUCUUAUCCAGAGAGGUGGAGGGACUGGCCCUUUGAAGCCUCGGCAACCGGUAGCAACUAGCUGCGAUUAGGUGCCAAUUCCAGCAAGGCCGCAUGAUGAUGCGGCUUGGCAGAUAAGAG